CCUACGGGUGGCUGCAGUGGGGGAUAUUGCACAAUGGGGGAAACCCUGAUGCAGCGACGCCGCGUGAGUGAAGAAGUAUUUCGGUAUGUAAAGCUCUAUCAGCAGGGAAGAAAAUGACAGUACCUGACCAAGAAGCCCCGGCUAACUACGUGCCAGCAGCCGCGGUAAUACGUAGGGGGCAAGUGUUAUCCGGAUUUACUGGGUGGAAAGGGAGCGUAGACGGUUAUGUAAGUCUGGAGUGAAAGCCCGGGGCCCAACCCCGGGACUGCUUUGGAAACUGUGUAACUGGAGUACAGGAGGGGCAGGCGGAAUUCCAGGUGUAGCGGUGAAAUGCGUAGAUAUCAGGAGGAACACCGGCGGCGAAGGCGACCUGCUAGAACAUAACUGACGCUGAUGCGCGAAAGCGUGGGGAGCAAACAGGAUUAGAUACCCUUGUAGUC
rnacentral:rRNA from 1 species